CCACGGCUGACGACCUCCACCUGCCCGGGUUUAUUGUUCGGAGUGUGCUCUCCUAGGCAGAUUGCCUACCACGGCUGACGACCUCCACCUGGCCGGGUUUAUUGUUCGGAGUUUGCUCUCCUAGGCAGAUUGCCUACCACGGCUGACGACCUCCACCUGGCCGGGUUUAUUGUUCGGAGUUUGCUCUCCUAGGCAGAUUGCCUACCACGGCUGACGACCACCACCUGGCCGGGUUUAUUGUUCGGAGUUUGCUCUCCUAGGCAGAUUGCCUACCACGGCUGACGACCUCCACCUGGCCGGGUUUAUUGUUCGGAGUUUGCUCUCCUAGGUGAACUGCCUACCACGGCUGACGACCUCCACCUGGCCGGGUUUAUUGUUCGGAGUUUGCUCUCCUAGGUAAAAUGCUCACGCUAACGAGCUCCACCUGCCCGGGUUUGUUGUUCGGAGUUUGCUCUCCUAGGUGAAUUGCCUACCACGGCUAACGAGCCCCACCUGCCCGGGUUUGUUUAGAGUUUCCUCUCCUAGGUGAACUGCCUACCACGGCUAACGACCUCCACCUGCCCGGGUUUGUUUAGAGUUUGCUCUCCUAGGUGAAUUGCCAACCACGGCUAACGACCUCCACCUGCCCGGGUUUGUUGUUCGGAGUUUGCUCUCCUAGGUGAAUUGCCUACCACGGCUAACGAGCCCCACCUGCCCGGGUUUGUUUAGAGUUUCCUCUCCUAGGUGAACUGCCUACCACGGCUAACGACCUCCACCUGCCCGGGUUUGUUUAGAGUUUGCUCUCCUAGGUGAACUGCCUACCACGGCUAACGAGCCUCACCUGCCCGGGUUUGUUUAGAGUUUGCUCUCCUAGGUGAAUUGCCUCCCACGGCUAACGACCUCCACCUGCCCGGGUUUGUAUAGAGUUUGCUCU